AUAAAUGAAAUCUGCACCUGCCGGACACUUGCCCUGUUUUGGCCCACUGGAAUGUUUUUGGCCACCUUUAGUUCAAAAGAACAGAAAGAUCGCUGGUAUUAUUUUAUCAAAAGAUCCACUAAUGAAGCCAGGAUGGGUAUACAGAAAAACUUCUCAAUGAAGAUAUUCACUGAGGACAUCCCAAACUGU